GAUGAACGCUGGCGGCGUGCUUAACACAUGCAAGUCGAACGGAAAGGCCCAAGCUUGCUUGGGUUCUCGAGUGGCGAAGGGGUGAGUAACACGUGGGGGAUCUGCCCUGCACUUCGGGAUAAGCCUGGGAAACUGGGUCUAAUACCGGAUAGGACCACUUCAUGGGUGUUGUGGUGGAAAGUUUUGUCGGUGUGGUAUGAGCUGGCGGGCUAUCAGCUUGUUGGUGGGGUAAUGGCCUACCAACGCGUCGACGGGUAGCCGGACUGUGGGAGUGUACGGCGACCUUGGGACCGACGGACGGCAGCGACACCGAAGGGAGGGAGCUGGGGGGAAUAUUGAACGAUCGGCGCAAGGCUGAUGCAGAGGCGCCGCGUGGGGUAAGACGGCCUUAGGGUUGUAAAAUAAUUGCGCAAGGGACGAAGCGUUUCGUGACGGUACCUGGAGAAGAAGCACCGGCUAACUACGUG
rnacentral:rRNA from 1 species